AACAGGAUUAGAUACCCUGGUAGUCCACGCUGUAAACGAUGUCGAUUUGGAGGUUGUGCCCUUGAGGCGUGGCUUCCGGAGCUAACGCGUUAAAUCGACCGCCUGGGGAGUACGGCCGCAAGGUUAAAACUCAAAUGAAUUGACGGGGGCCCGCACAAGCGGUGGAGCAUGUGGUUUAAUUCGAUGCAACGCGAAGAACCUUACCUACUCUUGACAUCCAGAGAACUUUCCAGAGAUGGAUUGGUGCCUUCGGGAACUCUGAGACAGGUGCUGCAUGGCUGUCGUCAGCUCGUGUUGUGAAAUGUUGGGUUAAGUCCCGCAACGAGCGCAACCCUUAUCCUUUGUUGCCAGCGGUUCGGCCGGGAACUCAAAGGAGACUGCCAGUGAUAAACUGGAGGAAGGUGGGGAUGACGUCAAGUCAUCAUGGCCCUUACGAGUAGGGCUACACACGUGCUACAAUGGCGUAUACAAAGAGAAGCGACCUCGCGAGAGCAAGCGGACCUCAUAAAGUACGUCGUAGUCCGGAUUGGAGUCUGCAACUCGACUCCAUGAAGUCGGAAUCGCUAGUAAUCGUAGAUCAGAAUGCUACGGUGAAUACGUUCCCGGGCCUUGUACACACCGCCCGUCACACCGUGGGAGUGGGUUGCAAAAGAAGUAGGUAGCUUAACCUUCGGGAGGGCGCUUACCACUUUGUGAUUCAUGACUGGGGUGAAGUCGUAACAAGGUAACCGUAGGGGAACCUGCGGCUGGAUCACCUCCUU
rnacentral:rRNA from 1 species